CCUACGGGUGGCAGCAGUCGAGAAUCAUUCACAAUGGGGGAAACCCUGAUGGUGCGACGCCGCGUGGGGGAAUGAAGGUCUUCGGAUUGUAAACCCCUGUCAUGUGGGAGCAAAUUAAAAAGAUAGUACCACAAGAGGAAGAGACGGCUAACUCUGUGCCAGCAGCCGCGGUAAUACAGAGGUCUCAAGCGUUUUUCGGAAUCACUGGGCGUAAGGCGUGCGUAGGCUGUUUCGUAAGUCGUGUGUGAAAGGCGCGGGCUCAACCCGCGGACGGCACAUGAUACUGCGAGACUAGAGUAAUGGAGGGGGAACCGGAAUUCUCGGUGAAGCAGUGAAAUGCGUAGAUAUCGAGAGGAACACUCGUGGCGAAGGCGGGUUCCUGGACAUUAACUGACGCUGAGGCACGAAGGCCAGGGGAGCGAAAGGGAUUAGAUACCCUGGUAGUC
rnacentral:rRNA from 1 species